rnacentral:rRNA from 1 species
UACGUAGGGUGCAAGCGUUGUCCGGAAUUAUUGGGCGUAAAGAGCUCGUAGGCGGUCUGUCGCGUCGGCUGUGAAAACUCGGGGCUCAACCCCGAGCCUGCAGUCGAUACGGGCAGACUAGAGUGCUGUAGGGGAGACUGGAAUUCCUGGUGUAGCGGUGAAAUGCGCAGAUAUCAGGAAGAACACCGAUGGCGAAGGCAGCUCUCUGGGACGGUACUGACGCUGAGGCGCGAAAGCGUGGGGAGCGAACAGG